UCACGAGCAGGGGAAGAGCUGGGUCGAGGGAUUUGUGGUAAGGGAGCCCGACCAUCUGAGGCUGAAUGCUCAGUAAGCGCAGGGGCAACCUUUCGUCUUCUCUUAAAGACAGACCCUGAGCACGUAUCCUCGUCAUCUAAAGGGGCCACGUCAACCACUACCUACAACUUCAAGUCCUUGGUAGGAGAAGCUUGGGCAAUAACCUUCAUCUUCUUGGCCCUAGCUGCCAAGUCCUUUUUGCUGAGUCUGAGCAUACUGUCUACAUGAAAAACAAGAGAGAAUUUAGUAACACACACAUGCAAGAUAUCACUAGCAAGAGUAAGGGAAAGAAGGAUACCAAUAUAGGCUUUGAGUCCCACAUGGGAGAACUCAUGCUUUAUUAAGGUGGCGGUGACAAAAACCACUUUGAGAUUGGAGAGGAAGAGGCACGCCUCUUGUUCUAGCUGGGGCGUGCCUUCUAAGCACCUACGCUUUUGGAAUCUGGGUUCCUCGGUCCAGUAUAAACGAAACCCAUCCAGAAGGGUUGGGUCGUUGUUGUUGAAGCGGAUUUUGAAGAAUUUGCCUUUGAAGCCUUUGUAAGAUUGCUAGAAGAGGGUCAGCAAAACUCUCCCAACAACCCCAUUCAAGCUCACCUAUAAUUGGCGAAUCAGCUGUUUGGCUUCGAAAAAAUAUAGGAAGACUUCCACUGAUGGCAGAUGGCCAAAGUGGUUGCAUAGAAUAGAGAAACCAUGAACAAGCACCCAGCUAUUUGGAUGUAGCUGGGCAGGGGCAGUAUUAAUUUCGGUGAGGAGCGCUCCCUCAAAGUGGUAUAAGGGUAAGCGGAGGAGAACCUUCUUAAAAACGGUAGAGUAGAUGAAACAGAAAGGACCUUCUGGGUCCGACAACUCAUCACAACAAACUGGCUCAUCUACCCAACACGACACUACUUUGACAUAUUUAUCAUCCUCUCUGCAAAAAAGGCAUUUUUUUCUUAGGGUGCUCACUCUUCCUAUACAACACUAUCUUCUCGCGGGUGUUGAACUCGUAAGUCUCUUAUAACAAAUUGUUAGGGGCCCAAGGAUAUAGGGUUUUGUAAUCCAUCAUACAAAGAAUCUAAAAACAAAUAAAAUCAAACAAGCGGACACAGGCAAAUGCUUAGAUAAAGGAAGCGCUUGUGAUUCGAGAAAAGGAACGACGAAGCAAAAACAAAGACAACAAUAAAAAACACACGAAAAUUAAAUAGUCCCGGCGCAGUUGAUAUGAGCAGACUAAAAGCAUUAAAAUGAUGUUAUCAAGCAUUCAUGAGUUAAAGAACGUACCUUGUUUCGAUUGAUGAGC
rnacentral:lncRNA from 1 species